CCUACGGGAGGCAGCAGUGAGGAAUAUUGGUCAAUGGCCGCGAGGCUGAACCAGCCAAGUCGCGUGAGGGAAGAAUGUCCUAUGGAUUGUAAACCUCGUUUGUCAGGGAGCAAAGUCACCCACGUGUGGGUGUUGGAGAGUACCUGAAGAAAAAACAUCGGCCAACUCCGGGCCAGCCGCCGCGGUAAUACGGUGGAUGCGAGCGUUAUCCGGAUUUGUUGGGUUUAAAGGAUGCGUAGGCGGGUCAUAAAGUCAGCGGGAAAAUCGUGGGGCUCAACUCCAUCCAGCCGUUGAAAUUGAGGAUCUUGAGUGGGCGAGAGGUAUGCGGAAUGCGUGGUGUAGCGGUGAAAUGCAUAGAUAUCACGCAGAACUCCGAUUGCGAAGGCAGCAUACCGGCGCCCGACUGACGCUGAAGCACGAAAGCGUGGGUAUCGAACAGGAUUAGAUACCCGGGUAGUC
rnacentral:rRNA from 1 species